CACGUGGGGAACCUGCCCCAUAGUCUGGGAUACCACUUGGAAACAGGUGCUAAUACCGGAUAAGAAAGCAGAUCGCAUGAUCAGCUUUUAAAAGGCGGCGUAAGCUGUCGCUAUGGGAUGGCCCCGCGGUGCAUUAGCUAGUUGGUAAGGUAAAGGCUUACCAAGGCGAUGAUGCAUAGCCGAGUUGAGAGACUGAUCGGCCACAUUGGGACUGAGACACGGCCCAAACUCCUACGGGAGGCAGCAGGU
rnacentral:rRNA from 1 species